AAUGAACGCUGGCGGCGUGCCUAACACAUGCAAGUCGCACGAGAAAGGCUUCGGCCGAGUAAAGUGGCGCACGGGUGAGUAACGCGUAGGUAAUCUACCCCUGGUGCUGGGAUAACAGAUCGAAAGGUCUGCUAAUACCGGAUACGACGAUGGAGCGGGAGCUCCAUCGUGAGAGUCUGCCUCUCGACGAAGCAGGCGGCCGGGGAGGAGCCUGCGUCCUAUCAGCUAGUUGGUGAGGUAACGGCUCACCAAGGCGACGACGGGUAGCUGGUCUGAGAGGAUGAUCAGCCACACUGGCACUGAAACACGGGCCAGACUCCUACGGGAGGCAGCAGUGAGGAAUUUUGCGCAAUGGGCGAAAGCCUGAUCCAGCCAUGCCGCGUGUGUGAAGAAGGUCUUCGGAUUGUAAAGCACUUUAAGUCGGGAGGAAGGGUUGUAGGUUAAUACCUUGCAGCCUUGACGUUACCGACAGAAUAAGCACCGGCUAACUUCGUGCCAGCCGCCGCCGUAACAC
rnacentral:rRNA from 1 species